rnacentral:lncRNA from 1 species
CGAUUUUAAUCUUAAUUUUGUAAUAUAUAAAUUUACAUUCACCAGAGGUCUAAAACCACAGUGACUCUAUUUUGUUAACUUUUUAAGUAUACAUAAAGAAUUUUUUCCAAUUAUACAUUUGUACAUUUAUACAGGAUCUAACAAACAAUGCUUAAUCAGUGUUGUCAGUUUGGAAAGUAAUGAUAGACCAUACACAGCCUAAAGAUAGUAUUUAGGAUAAUGACCUUUUUUGAUAGUCUGGCAUAAAUUGGGGAUUUUACAAUAUAUUAUAGAAACAUUUGAUUUUUCAC